rnacentral:ncRNA from 1 species
UAUGGAAAAAAGCAAACCAUUCGAAAGAAUGGGACGCAAAGUGUGGAGUCUAACGAGUAUAGAUCACUAUACUUCUAUGAUUGUCCUACCGCCCCG